UUUCCGUAGGUGAACCUGCGGAAGGAUCAUUAGUGAAUUGAAUAUGUUAGCGGACCUCUUCGGAAACGAAAGUGAUUAGAGCGCCUGCCCAUUUUAUACAAACAUUAAAGUAACAAACGUAGUCUUAUUAUAAUCUAAUAAAACUUUCAACAACGGAUCUCUUGGCUCUC
rnacentral:misc_RNA from 1 species